rnacentral:rRNA from 1 species
GACGAACGCUGGCGGCGUGCUUAACACAUGCAAGUCGAACGGAAAGGCCCUGCUUUUGUGGGGUGCUCGAGUGGCGAACGGGUGAGUAACACGUGAGUAACCUGCCCUUGACUUUGGGAUAACUUCAGGAAACUGGGGCUAAUACCGGAUAGGAGCUCCUGCUGCAUGGUGGGGGUUGGAAAGUUUCGGCGGUUGGGGAUGGACUCGCGGCUUAUCAGCUUGUUGGUGGGGUAGUGGCUUACCAAGGCUUUGACGGGUAGGCGGCCUGAGAGGGUGACCGGCCACAUGGGGACUGAGAUACGGCCCAGACUCCUACGGGAGGCAGCAGUGGGGAAUAUUGCACAAUGGGCGGAAGCCUGAUGCAGCAACGCCGCGUGCGGGAUGACGGCCUUCGGGUUGUAAACCGCUUUCGCCUGUGACGAAGCGUGAGUGACGGUAAUGGGUAAAGAAGCACCGGCUAACUACGUG